rnacentral:rRNA from 1 species
UACGUAGGGUGCAAGCGUUGUCCGGAAUUAUUGGGCGUAAAGAGCUCGUAGGCGGUUUGUCGUCGUCUGCUGUGAAAACGCGAGGCUCAACCUCGACGCCUGCAGUGGGUACGGGGCAGACUAGGAGUGCGGUAGGGGAGAUUGGAAUUCCUGGUGUAGACGGUGGAAUGCGCAGAUAUCAGGAGGAACACCGAGUGGCGAAGGCAGAUCUCUGGGCCGUAACUGACGCUGAGGCACGAAAGCGUGGGUAGCAAACAGG